rnacentral:rRNA from 1 species
AACUUUCAACAACGGAUCUCUUGGUUCCCGCAUCGAUGAAGAACGCAGCGAAACGCGAUAGUUAAUGUGAAUUGCAGAAUUCAGUGAAUCAUCGAGUCUUUGAACGCACAUUGCGCUCACCGGUAUUCCGGUGAGCAUGUCUGUCUGAGCGUCAUU